rnacentral:rRNA from 1 species
UACGUAGGGGGCGAGCGUUGUCCGGAGUUACUGGGCGUAAAGCGCUUGUAGGCGGUCCACCAAGUUUGGGGUGACAGUUGCCGACUUAAUCGGCAAAGUGCCUCAAAGACUGGUGGACUUGAGGGCCACAGAGGGACAUGGAACUCCAGGUGUAGUGGUGAAAUGCGUAGAUAUCUGGAAGAACACCAAAGGCGAAGGCAGUGUCCUGGGUGGUCGCUGACGCUGAGAGGCGAAAGCCAGGGGAGCGAACGGG